rnacentral:tRNA from 1 species
GCGAGAGUGGCGGAACUGGUAGACGCACUGGACUUAGGAUCCAGCUCUUGAAAAAGAAUGGGAGUUCGAGUCUCCCCUCUCGCACCA